rnacentral:misc_RNA from 1 species
AACGCACAUUGCACCCCCGAGUAUCCUGGGGGGUAUGCCUGUUCGAGCGUCAUUAACAACCCUCAAGCUCUGCUUGGUAUUGGGCCCCGCCAACCUGGCGAGCCCUAAAAUCAGUGGCAGUGCCCUUCGGCUCUAAGCGUAGUAACUUCUCUCGCUAUGGAAACCGGGUGGUAUGCGCCAAAACCCCCAACUUUCUAAGGUUGACCUCGGAUCAGGUAGGGAUACCCGCUGAACUUAA